rnacentral:rRNA from 1 species
GAUGAACGCUGGCGGCGUGCCUAAUACAUGCAAGUCGAGCGAACAGACGAGGAGCUUGCUCCUCUGACGUUAGCGGCGGACGGGUGAGUAACACGUGGAUAACCUACCUAUAAGACUGGGAUAACUUCGGGAAACCGGAGCUAAUACCGGAUAAUAUAUUGAACCGCAUGGUUCAAUAGUGAAAGACGGUUUUGCUGUCACUUAUAGAUGGAUCCGCGCCGCAUUAGCUAGUUGGUAAGGUAACGGCUUACCAAGGCAACGAUGCGUAGCCGACCUGAGAGGGUGAUCGGCCACACUGGAACUGAGACACGGUCCAGACUCCUACGGGAGGCAGCAGUAGGGAAUCUUCCGCAAUGGGCGAAAGCCUGACGGAGCAACGCCGCGAGAGUGAUGAUGGUCUUCGGAUCGUAAAACUCUGUUAUUAGGGAAGAACAAAUGUGUAAGUAACUAUGCACGUCUUGACGGUACCUAAUCAGAAAGCCACGGCUAACUACGUG